rnacentral:tRNA from 1 species
GAUUGUUUAGUUUAACUUAAAACAAAUGUUUUGAAAACAUUAAAUAAGAAAUUCUUCUUAACAAUCA